rnacentral:rRNA from 1 species
UACGUAGGGUGCGAGCGUUAAUCGGAAUUACUGGGCGUAAAGUGUGCGCAGGCGGCGUCGCAAGUCGAGUGUGAAAGCCCCGAGCUUAACUUGGGAAUUGCGCUCGAAACUACGAUGCUGGAGUAUGGCAGAGGAAGGUGGAAUUCCACGUGUAGCGGUGAAAUGCGUAGAGAUGUGGAGGAACACCGAUGGCGAAGGCAGCCUUCUGGGCCAAUACUGACGCUCAUGCACGAAAGCGUGGGGAGCAAACAGGA